AUACUUACCUGGCAGGGGGAAUGCCAAGAUCAAGAAGUUGGUUUCCUAGGGUGAGUCUCUUCCAUUGCACUCUUCUGUUUAGGUGGUCCCUGUGGUUUCCUCAAAUGUGAGAAACUCAACUGAAUAUUUUUUUUAGUAGGGGAGGACUGAGUUGUCACAGUCCUCUG